UCUCAAUUUUCUUAAUUAAAUAAAAAAAAGAAAUGCCUUCUAUGUGCACGUGCGCCUAAAUAAGUAUUACCAUUUCAUAUCCACACUUGUACGCACAUAUCUAUUCCUUCCCUGUAGAAUCAAAAUGAUGAACUCAUUUUUUUCUGAUGAUACGACUGAAGAAGACAAUCUAAUAAAAAGCAUAACAAAAAGUAACACUAAUAAAAUUCCGAAUAUUAUAAAGGACAUAGCAACUUCUAAUUUAGUAAAAAGGGAUAGUAAGGGUCACACAAAAAAUGAGAAUGCGAAUAUAAAAACUGAAAUAAUAGACUCAUAUGGUAACAAUAACAAAAGUUCAGAAACAAUUAAUAACAAUAGUGGUGUUAGUGGUAAUAAUAAUAAUAAUAAUAAUAAUAAUAAUAAUAAUAAUAAUAAUAGCUAUUCGGAUGAAGAAGUGCUUAGUGCUGAUUUGCACACUAACAUUUUGCCAUUCCAUAUAAAAAAAACAGGCAAAAUAAAUGCAGACAUUUUUUUUAUACCAUAUAAAAGUGAAGAUAACAAGGAUGUCAUAACUGAUUAUACAUAUAACUAUGAUUAUUAUGAUGUAUAUUCUGAUAAGAUUGAAAAAACAAAUAAAAUAUGCCAUCAACUUAAAAAACGUACUAGUACGCAAACUAAUGAAAUGUCGGUAGAAAAUAAAAAAAUAAAAAUCGAACGUGACAUAAAUGAGAAAAAUAAUACUAUUGACAAUAGUAAUAAAGCUGAAGAAAAAAAAUGCCAAAACUUCCAAAAAUUGCUUGUUCAUUUUAGAGGUAGGUUAUUUAUUGGGGUUAAUGUAGAAUAUUCUUUUUUUCAUACCAAAACAUAUUUAUCAGUUAUACAAGAUCAUAAUAAGCAAAAUGAAAAAAAUACAAAUGAUUUAUGUUUUAUUAAAAAACAAAUUACAACUUAUAAUCAGAUUAAAAAUGCCACAUAUUGGAAACAAGAUGAAUAUCCUGACUUAUCAGACAACACUUUACAAAAAUUUUAUUUUCUUCUUCUUGUUCCUUCUUUGAUUAAUUUUAAAAGCGAAGAGGAAGAGUUAAAAGACGUUGAUGUUGUUUUUUAGUGCAGCCA
rnacentral:lncRNA from 1 species